rnacentral:rRNA from 1 species
AGAGUUUGAUCCUGGCUCAGAUUGAACGCUGGCGGCAUGCUUUACACAUGCAAGUCGAACGGCAGCGGGGGCUUCGGCCUGCCGGCGAGUGGCGAACGGGUGAGUAAUGCAUCGGAACGUGCCCAGUCAUGGGGGAUAACUACGCGAAAGCGUAGCUAAUACCGCAUACGUACUGAGGUAGAAAGUGGGGGACCUUCGGGCCUCACGCUAUUCGAGCGGCCGACGUCUGAUUAGCUAGUUGGUGGGGUAAAGGCUCACCAAGGCGACGAUCAGUAGCGGGUCUGAGAGGAUGAUCCGCCACACUGGGACUGAGACACGGCCCAGACUCCUACGGGAGGCAGCAGUGGGGAAUUUUGGACAAUGGGCGCAAGCCUGAUCCAGCCAUGCCGCGUGUCUGAAGAAGGCCUU